CUCAGUGUGGUUCAGAUGGUAAAACGUCUGCUUGCAAUGCAGGAGACCCAGGUUCGAUUCCUGGGUUGGGA
rnacentral:tRNA from 1 species